rnacentral:rRNA from 1 species
GACGAACGCUGGCGGCGUGCCUAAUACAUGCAAGUAGAACGCUGAAGGAGGAGCUUGCUUCUCCGGAUGAGUUGCGAACGGGUGAGUAACGCGUAGGUAACCUGCCUGGUAGCGGGGGAUAACUAUUGGAAACGGUAGCUAAUACCGCAUAACAGUAGAUGUUGCAUGACAUUUGCUUAAAAGGUGCAAUUGCACCACUACCAGAUGGACCUGCGUUGUAUUAGCUAGUUGGUGGGGUAACGGCUCACCAAGGCGACGAUACAUAGCCGACCUGAGAGGGUGAUCGGCCACACUGGGACUGAGACACGGGCCCAGACUCCUACGGGAGGCAGCAGUAGGGAAUCUUCGGCAAUGGACGGAAGUCUGACCGAGCAACGCCGCGUGAGUGAAGAAGGUUUUCGGAUCGUAAAGCUCUGUUGUAAGAGAAGAACGAGUGUGAGAGUGGAAAGUUCACACUGUGACGGUAUCUUA